GCGCCAGUAGCUCAGCGUUAGAGCGCCGGUCUUGUAAACCGGAGGCCGGAAGUUAAAUCCCUCCCUGCCGCA
rnacentral:tRNA from 1 species